rnacentral:rRNA from 1 species
AUGAAAGAGCAACUGAAAGCAAGUAGGAUUAAGAUUUUGGCUGCCUUGCUGGUCUUCGCCAUGGUUACUCAAGGCUUGGCGAUUCGGGUCAAGGGGACGGUGAGGAAUGACAUCACCGAUGAGGCUGUCAGCGCAAAAACCACCCUCGGUGCAGGCAGCAGCACAACCGUUGACAACCACCAUGCAAUCCCACGGGACCAGUAUAGUAGCCAUGGAGGAGAGGACGGAUCAGGUGGCAGUGGUGGUGAUACUACAAAGAACUAG